rnacentral:rRNA from 1 species
GACGAACGCUGGCGGCGUGCUUAACACAUGCAAGUCGAGCGGAAAGGCCCUUCGGGGUACUCGAGCGGCGAACGGGUGAGUAACACGUGAGUAACCUGCCCUGGACUUUGGGAUAACCCUCGGAAACGGGGGCUAAUACCGAAUACGACUUCUGCCCGCAUGGGUGGUGGUGGAAAGUUUUUUCGGUCUGGGAUGGACUCGCGGCCUAUCAGCUUGUUGGUGGGGUAAUGGCCUACCAAGGCGACGACGGGUAGCCGGCCUGAGAGGGCGACCGGCCACACUGGGACUGAGACACGGCCCAGACUCCUACGGGAGGCAGCAGUGGGGAAUAUUGCACAAUGGGCGGAAGCCUGAUGCAGCGACGCCGCGUGAGGGAUGACGGCCUUCGGGUUGUAAACCUCUUUCAGCAGCGACGAAGCGCAAGUGACGGUACCUGCAGAAGAAGCGCCGGCCAACUACGUGCCAGCCGCCGCAGUAA